GGUUCGGUAGCCAAGUGGUAAGGCAAGUGACUGCAAAUCUCUCAUGCGUUGGUUCAAAUCCGACCCGAACCU
rnacentral:tRNA from 1 species